AGAUGAUAUGAGAAUAUCACCAAGAGCUGGCCUGGCAGAGUUACCAGAAGGACCUCUUCAGAUAUCUGUUAGUACCUGAUUGGAGCAGGAGGUGAGGGGCAGCUUUAAAUUCACUCUUAGCAGCACUGGGAGGAAGUGAUCCAAGAUCUAUUCCAGAACUUGUGAACGUAAAACCAUGCAGGAGCAAUCUGAAGCACCUUGGCCAGACCGGUCCCCUUGAACCUUAGGGAAGUCACCCUCCUACUGCUAAAUGGUA